rnacentral:rRNA from 1 species
GACGAACGCUGGCGGCGUGCCUAAUACAUGCAAGUCGAGCGCAGGAAGCUCACGGAACUCUUCGGAGGGAAGUGAAGGGAAUGAGCGGCGGACGGGUGAGUAACACGUAAGGAACCUGCCCCAAGGAUUGGGAUAACUCCGAGAAAUCGGAGCUAAUACCGAAUAGUUCUUCAGACCGCAUGGUCUGUGAUGAUGAAAGGCGCUUCGGCGUCACCUUGGGAUGGCCUUGCGGUGCAUUAGCUAGUUGGUGGGGUAAUGGCCCACCAAGGCGACGAUGCAUAGCGGACCUGAGAGGGUGAUCGGCCACACUGGGACUGAGACACGGCCCAGACUCCUACGGGAGGCAGCAGUAGGGAAUCUUCCACAAUGGACGAAAGUCUGAUGGAGCAACGCCGCGUGAGUGAUGAAGGUUUUCGGAUCGUAAAACUCUGUUGUAAGGGAAGAACAGGUAUGAGAGGUAAUGCUCAUGCUAUGACGGUACCUUACGAGAAAGCCACGGCUAACUACGUGCCAGCCGCCGCAGUAAAAC